GGGGGUAUAGCUCAGUGGCAGGGUGCGUGCUUAGCAUGCAUGAGGCCCUGGGGUCAAUCCCCAGGACCGCCA
rnacentral:tRNA from 1 species